rnacentral:misc_RNA from 1 species
AAUUUAAUUAAAAAUGAGUAAAAAUGAAAGAAAAGAAAAAUGAAAGAAAAGCUUAAUAAUUACAUCAUGCUUGAGUAAGCAUGAUGCAAUUAAAAGCUCUCCACCAAUCACCAUGAGACAACUAUUUAAUAAACAAAUAAAAAGGAGAUAAAUGAGUAAAAAAAAAUUGAAAAAGCCAUCUUCUUCUCCAGCCAUUCUCCCAUCCAACCCUCUCUUCUCCAUUUUCCUCUCAAAUUCUUCCAUUUUCCUAUCAUUAAAACACCAUUUCAAGCUUCCAAACCAUUACCUUCCUUCACAAAAAUAGUUGGCAACCUUGAUAAACCUCCAUAGCUAGCCAUAAAAACCAAGGAAAGUGAGAAGAGAAGUGAAAGGAAAAUCUGAUUGGCAGCCCCAAAGAGGUGAAUCAAGUGUUACAUUGAUUGAAGGUUGCUUGGAGCUAGAAGAAUAAGGUUAGUGCUAGAAAUUCUCUUGGAAUUUAAAAUUUAUGCAAGUUGAUUUAGGGUUUGCUAAAAUUUGAAAUUUUGUGUUAUGACUUGAAUUUGAUGAUGUUGAGGUUGAUUAUUGACUAUUAGAAGUGCUAUAAAUGUGAAUUGAAGUUUGGAAGUUGGGUGGAAUUGAAAAUUGGGAGUGUUGUUCUUAUGCAGGGAAUUCUGGACCUAUGAGUCCAG